rnacentral:lncRNA from 10 species
AAAUGGUCAAGAGCACAUAAUAGAAAAAAUCCUUUCUUAUCUGUACAUGUUAUACCACCUGCUCUGGUAUGUCUGAAUACUAAGUCCUAAAGUGCAAAAUUUCUAACCUAGAAGCAGAGGAUUUUGCACAUUUCCUAGCAUCUCUAGCCCAAUAUCAUUUUAUUAAUUUGUAACAGGCCAUCUCAAUCCCUUCUGAGGUCAGGAAUUAUACUACUUAAAUGCUAGAGGUGGAGGCUUGUCUACCUAGACCAUGUGCCCAUGGUGAACCCUUCUUGUUCAUCAUCUCCUGGUGUCUGAUUCUUGAUGCUUUGGAAGUCAGUAGGUCAAGAGCAAAGGUAUUCUGAGCUGAAUGAUGUCAUGCAUGUUCAUUUAGACCUUUUCUCUUUUCAUCUAUAUCUCAUUGUUCAGGCCACUCUCCAGAUGCUGGCACCAUGUUCUUGGACUUCCCAGCCUCUAGAGCUGUGAGCUGAAUACACUUCCAUUCAUUAUAAAUUACCCAGUCUGUGGUAUUCUGGUAUAGCAACAGAAAAUAAACUAAGACAGAGAGCUUAUUCACCAGGCUGAGCACACAAUGGGGAAAUGAGGGCAGCUUCUCUGGAGGACUAGAAACAGAUCAGGCUGUGAUUCUCUUUGGGCAUCUUAGAAGUAGUGCUGCUCAGAGACUAGAUCAAGUGACUGUCCUCUAGGGUCAUUCGGGACUCAGAGUCCGCUGGAUAACAAUACAGCAAUAUCAACAACAACACAGCUAACAUUGACUGCUUAUGUGUCAAGCACUUCUCCCAACAACUGUGUGAGUAGAAUUAUUAUUAUAUCCAUUCUGAGGAUGAGAAAACUGAGGCUCGGAGGAGAUACACCACUUACCUUGGGUGAGUGGCAGAGGCAGGAUUAAAACUCAGUCUGUAAGACUCAGGGCCCUUGAUGUUGGUGUUGUUUUUGGCCCCACACAAUGCACUUGGUGUGGUGAGUUUCUCUUCUCCAUUGACUUCUAGCUUUCCUUAACUCUUAGAAGGACCUUGAGCUUGCUACUUCUCAACUCUCUCACCCACUGUUCUGGACUCUCCUGGCUCCACGGCCUCUCUCCUUAGCUUGGAUACUGAGCCUGGACAUCCCAGAGGGUUGCUCUCUAGGACCCUGGGUCCCUUGCUUCUCUGUCUGUCCCCCACCUGUCCUUUGUUCCUGCAGCCCUGUGCAAGGCACACGGGUGGCCCACGUCCAUGAGAUGCCCUCAUCGCUGGGCCCACACCCCUCUGCCCUCUGUUCUCAUCUCCCUUUCUCAUUCCCAAAAUAUCCACUCUAGACAAUCACUGCUCUUUUCGUCCCCAUAUACCCUCACUCCACCCUCCCUUCACAGUGAGAGAAGAUGACAAUUCAUGGAGAAAGCAGGAAAUGCCCUCCACAUUCCCUCCCUUCCCCAUGGCCCUGGUCUCCCUGCCUCUCUGCCAUGUCUCCUCUCAAGGCCUUUCUUCCUUCCAGCUGUCCUGCAGAACAACUGUGCCUCCUGCCUCCUGCUCAGCCUGGUUUUGCCUGAGUAUUUCCCUCUUCUGCCUUCAAUCUGUCUCUAGCAGCAGUUUCCUCUUCACCUGCAAAUGUGCCUGAUUCUCUCAUCUUAAAGUUGAAUCCCUUGCCCACUGUCUGCCUUAAAUUACAAUCUUAUCUCUCCCUCUGUCACCCCAGCCUCAGUCUGAAUCUCAGCUUUGCCCCUUACCCGUUCUGUGACCUUGAGCAGGUUAUAUGACCUCCCUGUGCCUCCAUUUUUUCAUCUUUAAAAUGGGGCUCAGAGCAUUACCUGCAAUAUAUGGCUGCUAUGAUUAAAAAAAGUUUAAUACAUGCAAAACAGCCAGAAUGAGGGCUGGCAUAUGCUAAGCCAUAACUGAGAACUAGCUACAAUUAUUCUCCUCCCAUGCUCCCUAGACUGUCUUCUUCUGUGAUGGCUAGGCACUGUUUUCCUUCAGGCUUCCCUCUCUCCUAAGACUGAGACUUCUAAGGCUCCUCUGAAGUAACCACCUCCUCCCCACACUCUCUCUAAAGGCUAGUGCUCCUCAGGACUGUCCUUUCCUAACCUUUCUUGCCUCAGCCUUGCUGUAUGUUCUUCCCCAGUGAUCCUGUCCACUCCCAUGACUUUAGCUAAGACAGAUCUGCUGACGAUGACCACAUUUGUUUUUUUCAAAUUCUGACACUUUUAUUGUACAUGCAAUCAUGUUCAUCAUAAAAAAAUGCAAAAUGUAGAUAAGUGCUACCUCCUUCCUGUCCCCACUGUCCCAGCUAUGGUUCUGGUUUACUUUGUCUCAUUUCCUACACAAUCAAAACCUUGCCUGCUGUCCACAGACUUCUUCCUAAACACAAAGUCUGAUCUCGUGGCUUUGCGUAAGGAUUGAGGUAUUGUGGCUCUUAUAAUCUGCUGCAAUUUAUUUCCCCAACAUCAAUAUCCCAUCUCUCCCUCCUAUGUCCCAUACUUGUUUCAAGGCAACCUCAAGGCUUCCCGAGUCCCCCAUUCCUUUUCACAACUCCAUGCUUUUGCACAUAGUGUUCUCCCACGUGGUAUUCUUUCUUCUUAACUCUUUGCAUGGUUCACACUCCCUCUCUUUCUUUUGAACCCAGUUUACUUUACUUUAGCUGCAAAGACUUUCCCAACACCCCCAAGUAAAAUUUGCUGCCCCUUUUUCUGUUUUCUACAAGUUUUGGUUCAUACUUCCAAUACUUUGCACUCAUCUAUGGGCAUCUUGAGGGCAGGGAUGAGGUUUUAUUUGUCACUGUAGCUCUAGUGCCUGUUGUGGGCCUGGUGCAGCUGGUGUCUGGCCCAUGCCUAGUGAACGAAUGAGUGAACUCUUGAUUUCAUGCUGCUGACAUGAAAGCUUAGAAAGGCAUGACAUUAACAUAUACCUAAAAAAGACAGAGGUUUGAACCAUAAAUGCAGAUUUCUUUUUCUUUAGAAGAAAAUAUAAUUUUGAAACAUUUGAAAAUAACUAGCCUAUAAAGCCACUUAAACAGGGAAAAGCAAGUUCCCCAUUUAUGUGAAUGUAUCUGAGAGCAUCACUACCAUCCCCAACCCUAUUGAUGAGAAAAAUCUUCCAUGGUAAUAUUUAUCCCUUGCAUGAAGUUGUGUGUUUCUUCAAAGAUCUCUAUAUUUGUAAUCUCAUUUGAUCUUCAUAACCUCCCCAUGACAGACUGCAAAAAUGGUCUCAAUUCUCCAUGCCCCCUUGCAUCCAAGCCCAUACAAAGAGCCUUGUAGCAUUUCUUAUCAAGAGGUGUAAUCUAUUUUCCCAUCCCUUGGAUCUGGGCUGACCUUGUGAUUUGCUGUGACCAGUAGAAUAUGGCAGAAGUGACAUUUUCUUUUCUAGUCCUGAGUCUAGUCCCCAAAGGCCUUGCAGCUUCUGCUUUCUCUGUUGGACACCUGUGACUACCAUGUAAAUAAGUUUGGGCCAGCCUCCUGAAGAAUGAAAGACCACAUGGAGCAGAGCUGAGUCAGCUGAUUCAUCACAGCCAAGACCUCUGAUCCUUGAGCAAGCUGAGCAAAGCCAACUGGUAGCUGACCUUCUAGCUGCCCACAGACACAUGAGCAAGGCCAUCCUAGACCAGCCAGCCCCCAGAAACCUUCAGUUCCUAAGCUAAAUAAAUUGUAGUUUUAAGCCAACAUGUUUGAGGUGAUUUGUUACACAGCUCUAGCUAACUGAUACACUCUGUGAGAGAAAAGGACAGGAGUAAUAAUUAUCUCCAUUGUUGGAAUGAGGAAUCAGAGGCUUGAGGAGGCAAAGCUUCAGUUCCUAAUUCAAUGCUAUGUCUAUAACAUUGGUGGUUUUCAAUAAUUGGUUGGACACAGAGUUCUACCUUCAGGCAAAAUUGUAUGUAUUCCAAUAUGGAAAGCCAGUCAAAAGAGUACCUAUACUGUUGAAGGUGGCAUAGGGCCCUAGAACCCUGUACCUUUCUUACUCCUUGGCUCUUUUCUGCAGGGUGGUCCCUGGGGGGCCCUGGAUCAACGCAGUUCGACAACACUACAUUUAUACCACCAGUCAACCACUCCCAAAAUAUACAUGGAGUAGCUACUGUAUGCUUAGGCUUGGCCUUGAGACAGUGGGUGGCAUUAAGGGCAAGAAGAAUGUGUGGUUUAUGGUCUGCAAUAACCAAAAUCAAGAUGGAGAAAAACAAGUCAACAAUUAUGAAGUCAUAACGAACCACAUGAAAAUGGUGACAUUGUAGGAAGUCUGCCAGGCUGGAAGGACCACAUGGAGAGACCACAGAGACAGGGAGGGAGAGGCAAGGAGCCCCUGCUGUUCCAGCCUUCUCAGCCCAGGUGCCAGACACUGAAGAAGCCUUUAAGAAGACCCCUGCUCCAGUGGCUCAUUCCUGUAAUCCCUGCACUUUGGGAGGCCGAGGCAGGUGGAUCAUGAGGUCAGGAGUUCGAGACCAGCCUGGCCAAUAUGGUGAAACCCGUCUCUACUAAAAACACAAACAAAUUAGCCGGGCGUGGUGGCGUGUGCCUGUAGUCCCAGCUACUCAGGAGACCGAGGGAGGAGAAUUGCUUAAACCUGGGAGGCGGAGGUUACAGUGAGCCGAGAUCGCGCCAUUGUACUCCAGCCUGGGCGACAGAGUGAGUGAGAGAGACUCCAUCUCAAAAAAAAAAAAAAAAAAAAAGCCCCUGCUCCAGCCACCUUCUCUCCAAACACCCAGACUGAAACUGCCUGGGUGUUUCCAAGCAGGAAGUGCCCAUCAGCUCCUAGAACCAGGAGAGACAAUCAUACUAAAUGACUAUUGUUGUUUUGUAACACUAAGCUGGGACAGUUUGUUACAGUCAUAAGUAUCUGAAACAGGAGAGAUGAUUAGAGUUACAGUUCUGCAGAUUUCAUUUUUAUUCCCUUUGACUGCCAAAUCACUAUUUAUGACUCUUUAAGAUCAUUUAAUUCUUAAAAUUUGAAAUCCUUCAAGUUAGAGCAAGAUGCUGUAGAUGGCCUCUGCUCCCCAGCCGGGGCACCAGGAAUAUCUCUCUUGUAUUGCUUCGUACAGUGUCUCAAAGAAAACAUCGAGAACUACUCAGAAAUAUUUCUAGGGGCACCAGGAGGAAAUUCAGAGCCCAGCAUGGCCAACAAGAAAAAAAAGUGGGAAGAAAAAA